rnacentral:rRNA from 1 species
ACGAACGCUGGCGGCGUGCCUAAUACAUGCAAGUCGAGCGAAGUUUUUCUAGUGCUUGCACCGGAAAAACUUAGCGGCGAACGGGUGAGUAACACGUAAAGAACCUGCCUCAUAGACUGGGACAACUAUUGGAAACGAUAGCUAAUACCGGAUAAUAGCAUUAACUGCAUGGUUGAUGUUUAAAAGUUGGUUUUGCUAACACUAUGAGAUGGCUUUGCGGUGCAUUAGCUAGUUGGUGGGGUAAAGGCCUACCAAGGCGACGAUGCAUAGCCGACCUGAGAGGGUGAUCGGCCACACUGGGACUGAGACACGGCCCAGACUCCUACGGGAGGCAGCAGUAGGGAAUCUUCCGCAAUGGGCGAAAGCCUGACGGAGCAACGCCGCGUGAGUGAAGAAGGAUUUCGGUUCGUAAAGCUCUGUUGUUAGGGAAGAAUGAUUGUGUAGUAACUAUACACAGUAGAGACGGUACCUAACCAGAAAGCCACGGCUAACUACGUG